rnacentral:rRNA from 1 species
AGUGAACGUUGGCGGUAGGCCUAACACAUGCCAGUCGAACGGCAGCACAGUAAGAGCUUGCUCUUACGGGUGGCGAGUGGCGGACGGGUGAGGAAUACAUCGGAAUCUACUUUUUCGUGGGGGAUAACGUAGGGAAACUUACGCUAAUACCGCAUACGACCUACGGGUGAAAGCAGGGGAUCUUCGGACCUUGCGCGAUUGAAUGAGCCGAUGUCGGAUUAGCUAGUUGGCGGGGUAAAGGCCCACCAAGGCGACGAUCCGUAGCUGGUCUGAGAGGAUGAUCAGCCACACUGGAACUGAGACACGGUCCAGACUCCUACGGGAGGCAGCAGUGGGGAAUAUUGGACAAUGGGCGCAAGCCUGAUCCAGCCAUACCGCGUGGGUGAAGAAGGCCUUCGGGUUGUAAAGCCCUUUUGUUGGGAAAGAAAAGCAGCAGGUUAAUACCCCGCUGUUCUGACGGUACCCAAAGAAUAAGCACCGGCUAACUUCGUG